ensembl:lncRNA
GGAAAGCCCUCUAUCUGACAGUGAUGUGAUUUUUUAAAUUAUAACACUUGAAGGCAAAUCAACAUACAGCAAAGGAAUAUGCAUUCAGUUUGAGUCAUGUGAGCAGUACCCUCAUGGACAACGAUGUCUUUGUGAACAAAGCUGUACCCCAAAUUGUUCUCAACUGUAUUUCAGUCCAUGUGAGUGUAUGGCUCAUGGAUACUUCACUCCACUUUGUUAAGAAUUGGCUCCUCUGUUUGUUUGUUUGUUUGUUUGUUUGUUUGUUUGUUUGUUUUUUCUCCAUACAGGUGACCCAGGAGUUUUUUUUUUGUUUUUUUUGUUUGUUUUUUUUGUCUCUCUUCCCCCCCCCUUCUCACCGUCUCUUCUCCCCUUGGGUUUUCUUUCUUUCUCUCCCCCUCUCUCUCUCAUUCAUUCCCCCUGUCCUAUUUAUUAAAAAAAAAAAAAAAAAAAAUGACAAAGGAUGAACUGAAGCUCUGCCAUCACGUAAUGUCGCAUACUGCUGUUUCUGAUGUCAUUUAAAAAAAAAAAAAAAAAAAAAAAAAAAAAAAAAAAGAAUUGGCAGAAAGACGAGAAAAAAGCAGCGCUGAUGUGACUCAGUUGUUUAAAUCAAGCGUGAGUCCUUGCUCGCGUGUCUACUUUGGGAGAAGCUACUGCACAGACUGCUUCUGACUCAUAUCUGUAUGUCUGCUCUGUCUAAAAUUGUACAAAUAAUGUGCAAUUUUGUACUCUUCAGUGUACAAAAAGUUUUCUAAUGAUUCAGUGACUCAGUCUACACACUGUAGCUACAGUUCCCAAGUAAUAAUAAAGGCUGAUAAAAGUAGACAGUGUGGGAUCUGUACUUUGUCUACUUUUAUAAUAAUUUCACUACAACACACUAUGUCUGGAAAACCUUGAUUACUAUGAGAUCAGGCUGUGGGCUUUUAAAGCGUUGAUACUGGACAACAUAUGAACAUUUGACCACUACAGCCAGGGAAUCCAGUGGAUGUAGCAGAAGUUGGUGGCAUGGUCACUGUAAAUGAGUGCAAAGUUGUUCUAAAUGAUAACCAGUUUUUAAUAAAGGUCAUCGAAAGGCAUAGGUCCCCUGUAAUUAAAUGGAAUUCCACUGUUAAUUUUAAAUUACAAUUUCAUUAUAUUUACCUACAAAUUCUUAAAGGUAAGAGUAAGGGGGUCACAAAUCAGGUUUUUACUUUAAACAAAUCAAUACUAUAAGGAAAUUUUAAUAUUUAAAAAUUUAUUACAGUAAUAGUGUGCAGUUUAGUGGUAAUAUUUCCCCAUCUGACAUCAAAAGUACACUGUACUAUGGAGUGGAUUCACUUUGCCUUUUUACACCUUUAGAUUCAUUAGGUUGUUGUGUAUGAUGGGUUUUUCUAUUCGUCUCUGUACUUUUAUUUUACUAAUUAAAAUGUGAUAAGGACUAUUCUUGUUUUUCAGCUUACAAGAAAAGAAAUACCUGUAAAAAUUUGGUCUACGUGACUUUAUAAUGAUGGAGCUGAUUCUAACUCGGUUUUUUCUUUUCUUCCACUGUUGUGGUUUAAAUUUAACUUUCAGACAGAGGUUUCUUCAUGCUUGUAAAACACAUGGAAGCCAAGGUUAAGCCACUCCAUAUCGUACAGUGUACUUAUGACGAAAGACUGGGAAAUAUUGUUUGUUUUAAGCAAAAUUGCCCAGAAUUUAUGCAGUACUUCAAAUUUCUUACAGUAUAAUUUGUGUACCCUAUUCUAGGGUAGCAAAUCAUCCUUUAAGUACUUCUAGGUAAAUAUAAAUACAUAUUAAUUUCAAACAAAAUACAGUGAAAUUCCAUUUCAUUACAGGGGAAGUAUUAUAACAGUGUUACCUCUUUGUCUUAUGAUGACACAUUUUUAUCCUGAUGGGAGUGCUCUCUUCUAAAAUCACAUUGUCUCAAUCAGUUUCUACCAUGAUCCAGUAUCUCGUUAUCUCCUCUUUAGUAAAAAAAAAAAAAAACUUUUUAAAUAUCCUUCUAAAAAUCAUAAAGUGAGAGCUUAUAUGGAUAACCAUAUUUCUGUUUCCUUACCUGUGCAGACAUCAGUGAUAAUUCCAUUGUCCCGGGGUCAAAGGUUGCCAGCUAGAGCAUCUAAAGAAGGCGGUCUUUAAAGUAGAAGUCAGACAGCUGACAGCAAAGAAAAUAAAAGGAGAAGAAAAACGAGUAUGAGGGCUUCAAAACGGCACUGCUGUGCUUCACUCAGUGUACUUGUGAAUGCUUUUCAUGCUUCACAGAAGAGUUUCUUCUCUCAAUACAUGUCUCUCUCUCCCCCUCUCCCCCCCCCCCUCACUCUCUCUCUCUCUCUCUCUCUGUCUUUGUGGAUGUGCAUGUUGCACAUAAAGCAUGCUGAUAUGGCUUUGGCACUAAACUCCACGUCUUCCUGUUACAACUUACUUUGGAUUGAACCCCAUAAUCCC